rnacentral:rRNA from 1 species
CCUACGGGAGGCAGCAGUGGGGAAUAUUGGGCAAUGGGCGCAAGCCUGACCCAGCAACGCCGCGUGAAGGAAGAAGGCUUUCGGGUUGUAAACUUCUUUUCUGAGGGACGAAGAAAGUGACGGUACCUCAGGAAUAAGCCACGGCUAACUACGUGCCAGCAGCCGCGGUAAUACGUAGGUGGCAAGCGUUAUCCGGAUUUAUUGGGUGUAAAUGGGGUGUAGGCGGGAAAGCAAAUCAGAUGUGAAAACUCAGGGCUCAACCCUGAGCCUGUAUUUGAAACUGGUGUUCUUGAGUGCUGGAGAGGCAAUAGGAAGUCCGUGUGUAGCGGUGAAAUGCGUAGAUAUACGGAGGAACACCAGUGGCGAAGGCGGAUUGCUGGACAGUAACUGACGCUGAGGCGCGAAAGCGUGGGGAGCAAACAGGAUUAGAUACCCCUGUAGUC